rnacentral:misc_RNA from 1 species
AGAUAGCCAGACAGGAUUAAAACAACCAAUACAAAUAUAAGAAAUUAAGAAUCAGUUAGAUAUCAAAACUUCCAUCAGUUCAAACAAUGGACUCAGCUAAUAUAGCAAAUAGAGACAACUUCAACCAUUUAUCAACAAUAUGUGCCAAGUGCCAACUUCAUCACAAGCUAAUGACAACAGCAUGUUUUAAAUAACUGCUACUACAGACUAGAUGAAGCACACUCAGUGUGGAACUCCUCAUUUACUUCAGUUGACCUAGACUUGCAGUAAAAGUAGGCUAACGGCAGUUGUCAGAGAAGUUGAAAAUGGAGAAGUUCAAGCUGGAAAGUUUUGCAUUAGUUAGAAUUAUUUAAUAUUUUGCAUUUCUUUUCAUAUCUUU